rnacentral:lncRNA from 1 species
GGAAUUAGCAGUAAGUCUCAUCUUUGGCAUGUAAGUAUCUGAAGGUUCCUGGAAACUCUGCCAUAAGCUGUUCCCAUUUUCACUCCCUCCCAAGACAAGGUUUCCAUCAUCCAUAAGCUGCGCUCUUGAAUCAUUCAUUCCAGUCGAGACAUUUGAUGACCAAAGAAUUUCUUUCUGACCAUUCAAAACAACAAGAUUUCCAUCUUCAGAUAUUGUCAUAAUCCCAGAAGAAUCGUUGAGUGGCAUAUUUCUGUUAGCCACCCAAACUGGAGUUGUAAUAGAAAUAUUACUGUACCAUAUCGCUGCAUAACGAUUUGUGGAAUUUACAGGGCUGAAAAAUCCCAGUUUGAACUUGUUCCCAGCAGAGACUAUAUCUUCAGGAUCUUUGAUAUACUGAGAUGAUGUAAUGGUAUCUACGGAAGCUCCAAAUUCCCAACAAAAACAAUAUAGUAUUAGGAGAAAAGCUAUUGUGGAUGUGAAUCUGCCAUGAUCCAUAGUUGUAUAUUUAGUAGCACAAAAAUUAUAAAAAGAAUAUUUGGCUAAGUGCUUGUUCUUGAUUGGAAUAAAAGCUUUAUUAUAUCAUGAAUUAUUGACUAUUCAAUAUAUGCAUGCCAUUGUAGCCCAGUUGUCACUUCCUGCCGUCUGACUUUACUUGGCAAAUACAUAGGUGUUAGUCAAUUAUGUGUACUCUGAUUGUAAAUCACCCAACUCAAUGUCAUAAUCAGAGUCUACAUAAUUGACUAACACGUAUGCCAAGGCAAGUUCACAUUAGGUGUAAUGUUUUGAAUUAAUGAGUAGGAAAAUACAAUAAAGCCCUUGGAGGCUUAAAAGUUGGAAUAAAUGAAUAAGGGGUAUAGUGGUAAUUCAACAAACUGGAUAAAUAUAAAUAGAAAGAAAAAAAAAAAGAGAUCUGAAUAUUUUGAGAGUAAACCGUGAGAGAGAAGGGAGAAGGGAGAAAGAAGAAGAAGAAGAGAAAGGAGGGAAAUUAGAAGGGAAAUAGAAAGGAGUUGAAGAGAAUAAGUUUAAAGGUAAGAUUUAGGUUUUUAAAUGUAUAAAUGUAUGUUAAUUGAACUUAAUUUCAGUUUUGAUGAAUGUUAGGGUUUUGAAAAUUUAUGUUUUGGGUUUAAUUGAUGAAUUAAAUUGAAUGUUAUAAGGUUGAUUGUUAUGGGUAAUUGAUUAAUGAGUUGAUUAUGGAAUAUUGUGAUGAUUUUGAGUUAUGAAUUGUGUAAAUGGUGAAUGUUGAGUUAGAAAUUUGGCAAGAACAGUAGGUAAUCUGUGAGAAUUCUGGGUUUGAGGUUGAAGAUGACAAAAUUUCGGUUUGGUCCCUCAAUUUUGGAACAUUACAGUUUAGUCCCUAAACUUUGGAAAUUUACAGAUUGGUUCCUAAAGCAUAUUUCGAGAUUCUGAACAGAAUAAAAGAUGAAUUAUGGGCAGAAUUACUGUAUAGAUAUGAAAAUUUAACACUUUCAAGUUGGUCCUCCAAUUUGACAAAAAUUACAAUUUGACCCUAAAAAUUUGGUAAAAUUCCAGAAUGGUCCCCGGAGUAUAAUGAGAUGAUCUGGACAGAAAUGAGGACUAAUUAUGGUCAGAAUUUCAGUAUAUUCAUGGAUUUAUGAUAAAUUUUAGUUUGGUCCUUCAAUUUAACAAAAGUUGCAAUUUGACCCUUAAAAAUAGGAUAAAUUACAAAUUGGUCCCUAGCUGUAAUAUUAACUUUUGCAGAUUGGUUUGAUGAAUAAUUGAGGGUUAUUUAGUGAAUUAUUACCAAUUCUAUUAUUUGUUUUAUUAUGGAUUAGAUUUCGGGAAAACCGUUAAAUGUUGGGUUUUUAGGAAAAAUAACUCGGUAGUUCAAAAACAUAUAGGGUUUUGGAAUAUGCCCUUAGAUAAGUGUAUUAAAUAGGUUAUAUAUUCUUUUGAGUCAUUCUUGAAUAUGUCUCCUUUGUAUUCAGAUAAUCCUGAUAUUCUACCGGCGGGACGCCAUUAGGAUUUCCUUCGGUAUCUGCUUUUGACUUCUGUUUGCUUUCGAGUCAAGUGAGUGGAUAAUUUUCCAUAUGCAUGAGAAAUAUUAUAAAUAUUUGAUUUGUUAAUAUGAAUUGGAUCAUGCUUCUUGAUAAUAUAUAUGUUGAUUAUUAUCCUUGUUAUGAUAAGCAUGAUCAAUUGUUGAAUCUGAAUUAUUGAUAUGAACCAGUAUAUAUAUUCUGAAUUGACUUCUGAAUUAAUAGCUCCUCAUUUGAUUGAUGUCAUGAGUUGAGCCUUGAGAUAUGAAUAUGUCUGUUUGAUUAUGAUUAUGAACCUAUGGUAUGUCAGUCAGAAUACCCAUGCUAACAGGGUAGUGUUAGUCUUUGUGCACAUCGUAUCUGAACCCUAGUUGGUCGGGGGAGUCACCAACCUGUGUGGACUGAUCAUCCCACAGUACGGAGCCUCAUGCUCAUUGCAUUUUGAUUUUCUGACGAAUUUUACCAUAUGACAUUCUUGUUAUGGCCAAUUUGAGAAACAUUUCCAUAAGAACCUAAAGUCAUACUUGUAUAUAUAUUUCUCAUUGUUUUAUUACCUCGUAUGUGUGUAUUAAACGUUAUCUACUCACUGAGUUGUUGAACUCACCCUUUCAUUAUUAUUCUUUUCAGGCUUAUAACUUUAUAGCAGAUCACUUUUGUUGGACAUUCAGAACCUGUUCUUUGGUUGUACUUUAUACCUUUUCUUUAUGUCUAGUUAGUGCUCCAAAACUAUGAAUUUAUAUGAACUCUUGUAUUAAGACAAUUCAAUUAUAUUAUGAAAUUGAUUUUGUUAUUAAUGCUGCGUUGAACUCUGAUUGAGUUAGGAUAAGUUUGUGUGUAAGUUUGGGUUCGCAUAGGUAUGGAACCUUGAAGGGGAACCUUGCCUAUGUGCCGGUCAUGGAUCCGGGAAUCGGGUCGUGACAUUAGGGUUAAUUUAGACCAUGCCAAACCAACCUAUGGUUAAAUUCUGGUGUGAGAGCAAGAUGGAGAAUGAGAGUGACGCAUUGAUAAAAUGAAAUAAAUUGAAAAUUUAUUGCAAAAAAAUGGAAUUAAAAUAUAUAUUAUCAAAAUCUUGCCAUUACUUUGACAUGCCUAAAAAAUUCAGCGUUGAAAGUUUUACAAAUGGCCGACCAGCUGCAAGCCCAGCAGAAAAACAAUCAUGUCAUGAAUUUUGUCUAUCGGCCUGAAAGAAGUGUAACCGUGACGUUGUUGAUGGAUUCUGGCCUCUGGUCGUGCUGAAGGGACGCUGUGUCUAGCUCACUCCGCCUUUCUGAAAAUGCAGGUUGCUUGGGAGUGGGAAGAUCCACAAUUUCACUAUUUAGCAUGGAAAUGACAGUGAAUAUAGCUGGCCUGUCUUUUGCAAAUUCCUGAACACAUAGCAAACCAACGUGUACGCAACGAAAAAUUUCCUCGUGGAAAGAAGGAUAUGAAAUUCCAGGAUCUACCAGAGCUGCAAUGUUGCCCUCGUUCCACAAUUUCCAGGCCUGAGAAGUAAAAAAAUAUGUUGAAGUUAAUGCAGUUUUAAUAAUUUUGUAUCAUUAAAACAAGGAGUUGGAUGGACAUACAUAUCCUAGCAGGCUCAAAGCCUCCUCGUUUCCAUAGAAACUGGUAUUUUUCCUUCCACUUAUAAUCUCUAAUAACAAAACUCCAAAGCUAAAGACAUCGGAUUUCUCUGAAAAUCGACCUUCCAUGGCAUAUUCAGGGGACAUAUAGCCGCUGCAUCACCAAAAAAAUAGAUUUCAGAAAAAAAGAAGAAGGAAAGAUAACAGGAUAAGAAUCGCUAACGGAACAGUGCUUACAAUGUUCCAACAACCCUUCCAGUGUCAGCUUGGUCUUCGUUGCGACCAAAUAUCCUAGCCAUUCCGAAAUCUGAGAUUUUAGGAUUCAGUUCUUGGUCCAGUAGGAUGUUACUUGCCUUCAGAUCUCGAUGAAUAAUCCGCAGCCUAGAAUCCCUGUGAAGGUAAAGCAGACCUCGACAGAUUCCUUCGACAAUGUUGAAGCGUUUUUUCCAAUCUAGAAGUUGUUUUCUUGAAGGAUCUAGACAAAUUGCAGCGCAAAAUAAAAUUUCGUGAGGCUAAACAAAGGACUCCAUGAAAGAUGUUAAUCUGCUUCUAAUAAGUUAAACCGCAUAUCUGGUUGGGAAUCUGGAAAACUGUAAUGUAUUUACUUAAGAGAUAAGGCAAAAGCUCUAACCAAAAAGAAAAGCAUCCAAGCUCCUAUUUGGCAUGUACUCAUAAACCAACAUCUUCUCUUCUCCUUCAACGCAGCAUCCAAGAAGUCUCACGAGAUUCAUAUGUUGCAGUUUUGAAAUCACCACAACCUCAGUCAUAAAUUCUUCUUGCCCUUGUCCAGAUGCUCUUGACAGUCUUUUCAGAGCUAUCUCCUGCCCAUCUGGGAAUUUUCCCUGCAAGUUCAAUCAAUCCAAUAACUAGCUGUUCAGUUCAAUGAACCAUAAAAAUGUCAAAGAUCCAUCUCAAUCCAAAAACUUAAGCUGUUAGGUGAGGUCCUAAGAUAUGAUUUAUAUUAUUCUCCAACAAAAAAACUCCUCCACAACACAAGCAUUACCUUGUACACUGGACCAAAUCCACCCUGCCCAAGCUUAUUGGCUGUAUUAAAGUUGUCUGUUGCAACUAUCAGCAUUUGUAAACUGAACAGAGGUAGUUCUUGAAGUUUAACAUGGUUCAAGUUGUCUUGGAUCACGUUUUCGUCCAAUAAUAUUGGAUGCUUCCUUUUUGGUAAUAAUACCUUCUUGCUUGUCCUCUUCCUUUCUGGUUAAAUCCACAAGUAAGCAUCCCUUGUACAUUUCAUUUUACUUUUGAAUGAAACUUGAGAAUGUUUAAGAAAUUCCAACAAGCUAAUACUAACAUGCAAUUUACCUAUCCACCUCCAGGAAUAAAACACGCAGAUCGCAAUGGCAAUGGCUCCCACGACCACUGUUAAACUGAUAAUUACUUUCAUGUUUAUCUUUUUAUUAUCUGCAGAAAACAAAUUGUGGUAUCUUUAAAUUUGGCAAAAGCAAAACUAGGGAAAAAGAUCAAGUUUCUUCACCUUUCCAUUUGAAUAGCGAAGUUAGUUUAUCAGUAAUUUUCUGUAACAGGAAAUGGUUUGCACGCAACAUUGUAAACGAGAAUUGGAUAGAAAAUGAAACGCUUACCAAGUUCUGUAUAAGCAAGGCGAAUGUAAAGAUCUGCCCCUCCACUAGAAAACUUCUUUAUAUCAGUUAAGUUUCCCUUCCAUAACAUACAAUAUAUACCAGUAUAAUAGGCAUAAGCUAUACAAGAACAAUUAUUCCAGCAGUCAUCUCUGCAUUUUUGUUCAGUAAUCGAAGAUGACCACUCAGCAAAGCCUGGCACUUUCACUCUCUCCAGCUUCGAAAAUCCAUCUUCUUUUCCCAGUUCACCACCAUUUUGUAUUCUUUCACACCGCAUCGCUUUCCUUCGAACACAACCAUGAGUCCAGUUUCUGCUAUUCCAUUCAUCGGCAUUUUUUGGUUCAAAACCUUUCAAGCAACUGCAAAUUGGUGUGUUCUUUGCAUCACAGCUUGCAAAUGAACCACACUUGCCAUAAACAUCACACUCAUCUUGAACACUUUCCCAUUGAUAUCUCCAUGAUCCCUCAUUCAUAUCAUCCCAAAAUACUUGUCCAAAUUUUCCUUCAGAACUCAAAACAAAAUUGGUGAUGUAAGACUCAUCAGCAAAACCUACACUUAGAGUAAAACCUCCAUUUCCAUCAUCCGCAAGAUUAAAUCCAUCAAGAUAAACAGAAUUCAUUUCUGGGACUCCAAUAAAAACCUGACCAUUCCAGGGACCAGUACGCCAGAUUGGACGACUAUCAUUCCAAAGAACCACUUCAGGAAUGCUCGAGGGAUCAAUACCCAAAGAGAAGCUUCCGAUAGACGGAUCUGAAGGGCUUUUCCAUGAUGUCAGUGGCGUCUUCUUACCUGUUCUGGGAUUAGCAGUAAGUCUCAUCUUCGGAAUGUAAGUAUCUGAUGGUUCCUGGAAACUCUGCCAUAAGCUGUUCCCAUUUUCACUCCCUCCCAAGACAAGGUUUCCAUCAUCCAUAAGCUGCGCUCUUGAAUCAUUCAUUCCAGUCGAGACAUUUGAUGACCAAAGAGUUUCUUUCUGACCAUUCAAAACAACAAGAUUUCCAUCUUCAGAUAUUGUCAUAAUC